rnacentral:tRNA from 1 species
GGGGAUUUGGCUCAGUGGUAGAGUGCUUGCCUAGCAAGCGAAAGGCCCUGGGUUCGGUCCCCAGCUCCA